rnacentral:tRNA from 1 species
CAGGGUAUAGCUCACUGGUAUAGCGCAUGCUUAGCAUGCAUGGGGUCCUGGGCUCAAUUCCCAGUAGCUCAA